rnacentral:lncRNA from 1 species
UUUUGUUUGUGUCUUAUCUGAUGAAGUUGUUAAGCUUUUUUGAAGUAGCUUAAGCACCUAAUCUGAAAACUGCUUCUUUGAAGUAGCACCUUACGGCGGCCUCUGCCGCCUGUGGCUCUAGCACCCCCACGGGGGGCUUCACUGCAGGCCAGCAGCACCUCACGGCGGGCUUCGCAGCAGGCCAGCGCACCUUCGCUGCAGGCGAGCCGCAGGUUCAAGCCGCACCUUCGCUGCAGGCUAGCCGCAGGUUCAAGCCGUCACCUGCGCGUCUACAGAUCCGACCCAACUCCUCCACCAUGUAACCCUCCCUCCCUCUCUGUGCCCUAAUUUUCUAAUCUAUUUUCCCCUGUUUUUUUUUCUUUUUCUUUUUCUCUUUAAAUUAACUGGGAAACCAUCCCACUAUCCAGAUCUACGAGGUGUCAUCGUCGUGGUGGAAAUCGCUGAGAAAUCGCUGAAGAAUCGUAGGUUGCUGAAUUGGAGUAGUAAAAAUUACUAAAUCACUCUACUCUUUAAUAUUUUGCCUCAGUUUUUUUUUUUUUCCCUAAUAUUUAAACGUUAAUAAAUGUGGGUCGGGUGGUGCACGAAAAGGGGCUUUUNUUCCUAGCUCUUCGUCCCCUCCGCCCACUCCACCUGCGUUUCCAGCAAGUCUCGCGCCUCCGGCAAGCCCUGUGCCUCCGUCUUCAUCGGAAGCGAGCCCCAGGCCUCCGCCGCCUGUGGCUCUAGCACCCCCCACGGGUGGCUUCGCUGCAGGCCAGUAACUUCGUCCCCUCCGCCCCCUCCACCUGUGUUUCCAGCAAGCCUCGCGCCUCCGCCAAGCCCUGCGCCUCCGUCUUCAGCGGAAGCGAGCCCCGGGCCUCCGCCGCCUGUGGCUUUAGCACCCCCACGGGGGGCUUCGCUGCAGGCCAGUAACUUCUUUCCAGGGUAAAUUACAGAAGCACGACUAAGCAUUCGAGUUGUUUUAAGAAAUUAAGGAUAAUUAGGACAUCCUUUGUCUUCCUGCGUGCAUGUGUUCUUCUAUUUUCUUGGUGCAGGUUUAGAGAAAGACUCCAUGUAUUGCAUUUUCUUUCUUUUUAUUUUCUAUUGCCAGAUAAGUGAAAAAUGUUUAAGAAAGAAAUUCUCCUCUUUUGGAGCAAAUUAAGAGGUUAAUCUUUAAUGCUUCAACUCUGUUUCCCCUCAUUUUAUCUGCAUUUAUCCUAAAGAUAUUUUAACAUUGUUUGAUUCCUGCGCAAGUAGCAAACCUCAUCGCAUGAUGAGGUUGUUUUGUUUGUGUCUUAUCUGAUGAAGUUGUUAAGCUUCUUUGAAGUAGCUUAAACACCUAAUCUGAAAACUGCUUCUUUGAAGUAGCACCUCACGGCGGGCCUCUGCCGCCUGUGGCUCUAGCACCCCCACGGGGGUCUUCGCUGCAGGCUAGCGCACCUGCGCGUCGCCUCGUCGAGCCGCACGUGCGCGUCGCCUCGUCGAGCUGCACCUGCGCGUCGCCUCGUCGAGCCGCAGGUUCAAGCCGCACCUUCGCUGCAGGCGAGCCGCAGGUUCAAGCCGCACCUUCGCUACAGGUGAGCCGCAGGUUCAAGCCGCACCUUCGCCGCAGGUUCAAGCCGCACCUUCGCUGCAGGUGAGCUGCAGGUUCAAGCCGCACCUUCGCUGCAGGCUAGCCGCAGGUUCAAGCCGUCCCUGCGCGUCUACAGAUUCG